rnacentral:lncRNA from 1 species
CGAUGUAGUUCUCCGUUGAAGAGUCCAGGCGAAACAGAUGGGUGAGAUGGUCUCAGUUUCCGGCGUGCUCCGUCGAAACUAUAGGUGGUUUCGUCUUCGCCGGCGAUGUCUUCUCGGUGCCGGUCGCGGUGGUGUGACCAGGUGACGCGUGUUCUCGAAAGGGGUGGGUUUCAACACGUGGGCUUCCAAACGCGUUUUCUGGACGCGUGGAGGGUUUGGCGCCGUUUCGUUAACGGGUUGGGCUUCGCCCAUUGUUUUUCC